CGGGCUGUAGCGUAGUUUGGUAGCGCGCAUGCAUGGGGUGCAUGAGGUCGCGGGUUCAAAUCCCGCCAGCCCGA
rnacentral:tRNA from 1 species